rnacentral:rRNA from 1 species
GAUGAACGCUAGCGGCAGGCCUAACACAUGCAAGUCGAGGGGUAGGACACUUCGGUGUUUGAGACCGGCGCACGGGUGCGUAACGCGUAUGCAAUCUGCCUUACACUAAGGGAUAGCCCAGAGAAAUUUGGAUUAAUACCUUAUAGUAUAUUGAUGUAGCAUUACAUUAUUAUUAAAGAUUUAUCGGUGUAAGAUGAGCAUGCGUCCCAUUAGCUAGUUGGUAUGGUAACGGCAUACCAAGGCAAUGAUGGGUAGGGGUCCUGAGAGGGAGAUCCCCCACACUGGUACUGAGACACGGACCAGACUCCUACGGGAGGCAGCAGUGAGGAAUAUUGGUCAAUGGGCGCAAGCCUGAACCAGCCAUGCCGCGUGCAGGAUGAAGCAUCUAUGGUGUGUAAACUGCUUUUGUACGGGAAGAAACACCCCUUCGUGAAGGGGCUUGACGGUACCGUAAGAAUAAGGAUCGGCUAACUCCGUGCCAGCCGCCGCCGUAAUAC